ACCCUCAUCGGACACUCCCCAGUCCACAGCAGCGCACUGGCCGCAGGGCUCACUGUAUCCCCCCUGGAGGAAGAGUCCAACAGUCAGAUAUCGACUACAUAACAGCACAGACCGCCAAACAAUACUACCGAAAGGAGAAACUCACGCAAACCUCCCUCAAAUCCCCUUCCCCACCUCUUGGAGAAAGCUGCUUGUUUUCACCACUGGGCCAAUUUCAUGGUUUACUGCCUCCCACGCUCUCUAGUGUUCUCUAUGCGAAAUGCAGCAUUGUUGCCAAUGGAAAUCAGGAACAGUCAGUAACUGCAGGUGUGGGUAUUAUUCUUCACACUGAAGCACAACGGACUGCUCUUCCUCAACUAUGGCACGCUUUACAAUCCCAGUCAUCCUCCACAAAUGUCGCAUGGCGUGAUUAGGGAUUGUGGGAGGCUGUGGGCGAACAGAAAAUUACACUGAGUCUUGCUCACUUGGUUCUUAUCUGAUUCUCUCCAGCAUCAGAUACAGUGUUUGAUAUGAGAUGAAGGCAGUGGAAUCUUCAUACACGGAAAAUCCUAUUGUUGCCCACCUCAGGUCUGCGUCCUGUCGGUUACCAUGGCAACUACGUAGUGGCAGCCGGAGCGAAUGGAGGGGGUAGAUCAUGCAUAAUCAGAAGGAGAGCGUGUGUAGAGUGCACAGUUCUCAUCUCAAAGAGGCUGUCAGAACUGCUAGAAUUAUGCGCCCACAAAGUAGAAGAUGUUUUGUGGGCUCUGGGUCGACCACCGUUUCUAUUGGAAGCAAUUAAAUGUUACACAUUCAUAAGAUGAUUUGAAUAUACCUGUUUUAGUAAUCAUCUAAGGGUUAAUAUGCAGAGGCACAUUUGAGUGGUGGUGUCAUUAACCAAUAUUUUUUGACUUUGUUCAUAUUUAGGGUCCAAGAGACCCCAAUGUUAUACGAGUAAAAAUAGUAAUAGUAAUUUAAGUUUGUUGCACCAUUAACCUGUGGAAGUAUAACUUUUAUU